rnacentral:rRNA from 1 species
GGUUAGGCUCAGGACGAACGCUGGCGGCGUGCCUAACACAUGCAAGUCGAGCGAGGGGAGUUUCUUCGGAAACAAACCUAGCGGCGGACGGGUGAGUAACACGUGGGCAACCUGCCUUGUAGAGGGGAAUAGCCUCCCGAAAGGGAGAUUAAUACCGCAUAACAUUGCAGCUUCGCAUGGAGCAGCAAUUAAAGGAGUAAUCCGCUACAAGAUGGGCCCGCGGCGCAUUAGCUAGUUGGUGAGGUAACGGCUCACCAAGGCGACGAUGCGUAGCCGACCUGAGAGGGUGAUCGGCCACAUUGGGACUGAGACACGGCCCAGACUCCUACGGGAGGCAGCAGUGGGGAAUAUUGCACAAUGGGGGAAACCCUGAUGCAGCAACGCCGCGUGAGUGAUGAAGGUUUUCGGAUCGUAAAGCUCUGUCUUCAGGGACGAUAAUGAC